rnacentral:rRNA from 1 species
UACGAAGGGGGGCUAGCGUUGCUCGGAAUCACUGGGCGUAAAGGGUGCGUAGGCGGGUCUUUAAGUCAGGGGUGAAAUCCUGGAGCUCAACUCCAGAACUGCCUUUGAUACUGAAGAUCUUGAGUUCGGGAGAGGUGAGUGGAACUGCGAGUGUAGAGGUGAAAUUCGUAGAUAUUCGGAAGAACACCAGUGGCGAAGGCGGCUUACUGGUCCGGUACUGACGCUGAGGUGCGAAAGCGUGGGGAGCAAACAGG